GUGUCAUUGUGGAAUGAAGCCCGGGACGCGUAGUAGCAGAGCAUGCCGAUUCACCGUCGUUGUGCGUAGGACUGAUAUUCACCGCCGAUAAGUCGGCAUGUAGCAGAGUGAAAGUCUCUUCCAGUUAAACCUGAUACAGUGGGUGAAGACGGGUGGAGCGGGUGGAGACAUCGUGAUCAUCAAGAUGAAGAUUCUCAAGUUCCCGCCUUUUCCGGGAGAAACUAACAGGUGUCCGAUUUGUCGCCGGAGAUUCCGCUUCAAAUUCGGCCAACUGAUACACCUCCGAGAGUGUCAUGAUGUGGAUAAAUUCAGCCCCGUGUACAAGAAGGCCCCCAGACCAACUUGCAACCCUGAGGACGUGAUAGCGUGCGCUGCAUGUCUGAGCAAUUUCAACUCGAAGCGGAGUUUACGAAAUCAUAGCAGUCGGUGCCGAAAUAGAGACUGGUAUCUUGAUGACAUUUCUCAUGCUGGAGAAAGGUGUACAGAAUGUGAUAAAAGCUUUGGGUCCUUCAAUGAACUGAUCAUACAUACUAUUAACCAUAUUGAGGACAAAAGAACAUUCUUGUCUUCUUUGACGUCGGAACUCAAAAUACAUCUAGGCCGAAUAUUGAUUUAGUGAUCCUUAUUGACCACCAUAAUUUAUAUGUUUUCACCCAUAAAGAUAAAGGUUUUUGAGCUUUUCAGAAACCUUUUUUGGGAGUUUUCAGCCAACAAUAAAUGUACCCUCCAUAGAGGUUUUUUAGAAAAAUGAAAAACCAGCUCGUGAAAGACCACUGGAUUAAAUACAUGUAUUUGCUCAAAAACCUUUAAUUUUAUGUAUGAUGGAGCAAUAACUAACUGCUGGCUGAAGCUGUGUUUUAGCAUUUCGAUCUGCCGUCGUUGUGCGUAUAUUCACCCUUCACAAAAAGUAGGAGACUUUAGGAUUGAUCUAUGUGUUUUAACUUCGCCAGGUAUUUUAAAAAAAAUGAAAUUAUAGUCAUGUUGUAUAUUAUAUGUCUAUAUAUUAUUGUUUCGAAAAGGGCAUUAAAUAUUUAUCAAUACGAAAAUGGAGCAUGAGACUACAUAUUGUUUUCUUUCUUUAUUCAAAAUUAAAAAUGUGGAGGAAAGAGGAAAUAGUCCUAAAGGGUAUUGAGUCACAGGAAUCUUCAGUGAAGGAAUCAUACCCAGGUAAGUCAAAACAUAAGUCAUG